AUACUUGGGUAAUCGCUGUAUGACUUUAUCAUACAGAGGAAAGUCCAUGCUCACACAAGCUGAGAUGCUUGUAGUGUUCGUGCCUGACGAAACCAUAAGUCAGGGUAGCAAUAGCUAACGGCAGGGAAAAUUCCUACGUCUUCAUGAUAUGGAAUGAAUACCUUGAAAGUGCCACAGUGACGGAGCCAAAAUAGAAAUAUUUUGGGUGGAACGAGGUAAACCCCACGAGUGAGCAACCCAAAUAUAGGUAGGGGCACUCUUCUAUGGGAAAUGAACCGAUGAAGAGGUCGUUUAUCGACAGAUAGAUGAUUACCACCGGAGUACGAGGUUGACCGCCGCUUGCAGUACAAUGGAACAGAACAUGGCUUACAAAG
rnacentral:RNase_P_RNA from 1 species